UACGUAGGGUGCGAGCGUUGUCCGGAAUUAUUGGGCGUAAAGAGCUUGUAGGCGGUUUGUCGCGUCUGCUGUGAAAAUCCGGGGCUCAACCCCGGACUUGCAGUGGGUACAGGCAGACUAGAGUGUGGUAGGGGAGACUGGAAUUCCUGGUGUAGCGGUGGAAUGCGCAGAUAUCAGGAGGAACACCGAUGGCGAAGGCAGGUCUCUGGGCCACUACUGACGCUGAGAAGCGAAAGCAUGGGGAGCGAACAGG
rnacentral:rRNA from 1 species